rnacentral:rRNA from 1 species
UACGGAGGGUGCAAACGUUGCUCGGAAUCAUUGGGCGUAAAGCGCGUGUAGGCGGCGUGCCAAGUCGAGUGUGAAAGCCCUCGGCUUAACCGAGGAAGUGCGCUCGAAACUGGCACGCUGGAGUACGGGAGAGGGUAGCGGAAUUCCCGGUGUAGAGGUGAAAUUCGUAGAUAUCGGGAGGAACACCAGUGGCGAAGGCGGCUACCUGGACCGAUACUGACGCUGAGACGCGAAAGCGUGGGGAGCAAACAGG